rnacentral:tRNA from 1 species
GGAGCCAAACGUUGGACGCUACAAUGGCAUUGUAGAGGUCGCCGGUUCGAUCCCGGCUGGCUCCACCA